UACGGAGGGGGCUAGCGUUGUUCGGAAUUACUGGGCGUAAAGCGCACGUAGGCGGCUUUGCAAGUUAGAGGUGAAAGCCCGGGGCUCAACUCCGGAAUUGCCUUUAAAACUGCAUCGCUAGAAUUGUGGAGAGGUAAGUGGAAUUCCGGAGUGUAGAGGUGAAAUUCGUAGAUAUUCGGAAGAACACCAGUGGCGAAGGCGACUUACUGGACACAUAUUGACGCUGAGGUGCGAAAGCGUGGGGAGCAAACAGG
rnacentral:rRNA from 1 species